rnacentral:piRNA from 1 species
GGAGAUAAACAGUAGAGCAACUG